rnacentral:rRNA from 1 species
AUGGAGGCGGGCGGCGGGGGAGGAGGGUUCAGGGACGAGCGGGUGCCGCAGUGGGGCGUGCAGGAGACGCGGGAGCUCAUCGCGGCGCGCGGGGAGCUGGAGCGGGAGGCCGCCGCCGGCCGCAGCGCCAAGACGCUCUGGGAGGCAGUGGCCGACGCGCUCCGGGCGCGCGGGUACCGCCGCACCGCCGACCAGUGCAAGUGCAAGUGGAAGAACCUCGUCAACAGAUACAAGGGGAAAGAAACAUCUGAUCCAGAAAAUGGUAGACAGUGUCCCUUCUUUGAAGAAUUACAUGCAGUCUUCACUGAACGUGCUAGAAAUAUGCAACGUCAACUCCUUCAGUCUGAAUCGGGAACUUCAGUUAAAAAGAAAUUAAAGCGACCUAGCGGUGACCGGUCAUCUGGGGAGUCUGAUGACAAUGAAUAUGGCGUUGAAGUCAGCGAUGAUGAGAAACCCAUGAUAAGCAAAAAGCGGAAGGCCAGUGAUAAGGGGCAACCAUCGCAACGAAUGGCGGAAAACUCAAGGACCGGCAGUUCAAGCAUCCAUGAUCUGUUACAGGAAUUCCUAGUGCAGCAACAGCAUGUCGAUAUGCUGUGGCAUGAGACGAUGGAGCGGCGCGCCCAGGAGCGGCUCAUUUUCGAACAAGAAUGGAGGCAGUCGAUGCAGAAGCUUGAGCAGGAGAGGCUGAUGCUGGAGCAGUCAUGGAUAGAGCGUGAGGAACAGCGAAGGAUGAGAGAAGAAGCAAGAGCUCAGAAAAGGGAUUCGCUCAUGACCACCCUGCUGAACAAACUCUUACAAGAAGAUCUAUAG